rnacentral:lncRNA from 1 species
CAAAUUCACAUUUAAUCAUCCGUUAAUACACGUGUCUACAUUCGGCUAUAGCGAGAGUCAAUGGUCAGAAAGGUGACCGCACGGGUUUUAAGUGCGGACAAAUGGUCACAUGUCAUGAAUAUUCAUGAACUACUUACGUACGACGAACUAAAUUUUAUUAAUUGGUAGGCUAAGGUUGCAUCAUCUAGACAUAAAAAAGUAUUUAAAAAAGAUUCGAUAAUUUAUUUUUUCAUUUCGGUGCCCACUUUUUUAUUUAGCUUGCUGAAUGCCGUACUCAGUUUGACUUAAAAUAAUUGUUUACACAAAAUAGCGUUAUAUUCUCCCUCACUACGUUCGUCCGAAUAUACACAUUAUGAAACCUGGAUUAAGAGUUCAACUCGUCUCAUUAAUUGGCUACUAAUCUACCACAUCCCUUUAUUUCUAUGGCACUGGCUACGGUUACAUGGAAAUGUAGCAAUAAUAAAAAUAUUAUUGUUACAUUGGAGACUAAUUGCCGGAAUGCAAAGUUGGGUAAGGAACCGACUAAUUACGAAUGUAACACUAAUUAUUGAGGCUACGGUUACAUUGCCUUAUUGUUACAUGAAAAACAACAAUAUACGCUGGAUUUAUUAAAUUUAAGUCUUCUAUAGUUUUGUUGCUUAUUUUGUUCAUAUGUACCAAAUAAUACUUGUACAUGUAAUAAUAACAAAUAAUAAAUAUUGUUAUUUAACAAAUUGUGUUUGAAUAGUUUUACGUAUUACUGGUUUUGAUGUUUUUAAAGAUACUGUCCCAAGUCAGGAGCCUCUGGCCUUUGUUAGUCUUGUAUGAUUUUUAAUUUUAGUUUCUUGUAAAUAAUUCGGAGUUUAGCGUAGCGUCCAUUAUCACUGAACUAGUAUACAUAUUUGUUAAGGGGCUUGCUGAAGGACGCCUCCGGGUUCGAGUUUUUCGCUACAUUGAAGACCCAUUGUGGCCUUCGGCUGUUGUCUGCUCUAUAGUCGAGUUGUUGUUGCUUUUAAGUUGACACAUUCCCCAUUUCCAUUCUCAAUUUUACCUCAGAUAAGUAGUGUCAAAGGCGAAAAUUAUAGUUCAAUGGUUUGUUGUUGGAUUUGGGUGAAAAUUUAAAACUUUGGAUUGGUUUGAAACGAAACUUAUUUAAUAACAAGACACAAAUUUCAUACAACUAUACAAACGCAGUUCUGAAAAAAAUGAUAUAAUAAAAAGCCAAGUUUGCUAACUGUGAACUUCUGUAUACAUGUAUCCCGCAUGGAGGACGUAAUUUCGUUUCAAAAUCAGAUGGAGCCUAAACCAAAGGUAACUUUUUUCCCUUUUUUAAAAAUCUUUAUACCGUAUACAAAUAUUGUUUGGAGAGGUUUUAUAAAAAAAAA